ACUGCCAUUAAGGGAAAACUGCAAGAGCUUGGGGCUUAUGCAGAUGAAGAGCUACCAGAUUACAUCAUGGUUAUGGUAGCCAAUAAAAAGAGCCAAGAGCAAAUGGCAGAAGAUCUUGCUCUGUUUUUGGGAAGUAAUACCCCAAAAUUUACUUUGUGGCUGCAUGGUGUCCUUGACAAGCUACGCUCUGUAACAGUUGUUGAAGAACCCACCACUGUGAAGAAACAGCCAAACUACACAGAUUGUAAUAUAUAUCCCUCCGAGAAGAUUCAAGCAGCCGUCAGCGGAAGUGGUGAUCAAACUAGUGAAGAUGUUCGUAUUCUCGCUGUGUCCAGCACACAUUCUGAGAGAAAUGAUUCUCGAGUUUCUACCAGCUCAUUACAAGAGCGGUCAAUACCCGGUAUCAGAGCAACUGUGGAGAGAAGUUCAUCUCAUUUACUGCCAGCAGUGAAGCCUUCAACAGAACUGGUCUCCUCUGAAGCAGUAAUUGACAUUAAACCUGAACUGGAUGAUCUUAUAGAUGGGGACCUUAACAUUUUACAGGAAAUUCCAUCAUCUUUUAAGAAGAAGCCUAUAGUAACAGUUUUGUAUAAUGUAUCGUGCCCUUCUUUUGGUGCCUUUGGGCCAGAAGGAAACGUUUCACAAGUGUACAAAGCAACUGAAACUAGCACCCAGUCGUUAAGGAUGGCUCAGAAUAAUAUUCAGCCAUGUAAGUUAGGAGAAGGCUCCGUGCAUGGCUACAGACUAUUAGAAAAUACCGGCAAUGUUUACAGAUCAUAUGAGAGCACCUUGCAAGCUUACAACAAAUUGUCAGAAAGUGGAGUACAAGUUUACAGGCCAUCAAAGUCUAACUCUGAUCGAUCAAGUAGAGAUGAUGAAAGCUCCAAAAAGAGAAAGGCGAAUAUCAUAAGUUCUGUCGUUAAAGUAAACAAGACAAGUGAUGGUGAGGAAGAUGAUGAUGACUUUGCCUCAAGAACAGGAAGCCUUUCCAGCAGUAUUUUUGUCCCAGCAAAAUCUGAAAGAAGGCCUACUUUGCCACCUUCUAAACAGGCCAAUAAGAAUUUAAUACUAAAAGCUAUCACAGAAGCCCAGAAAUCUGUAUGCAAGACAACAAGUUAUCCAGCAGUUAUUCCACAGAAACAGAUGGUACCUGUGGCUCCUAGAACUCGGGCCAUACGUGAAAGUAGUGAAAUUGAAGUGAUUAAUCCGGUAGACAAAGCACAUCAGCAAGCCUUACUAUUACAGAUCAAUGAAGCUGAACAACCAGCGCAAAAGAAUUACUUGCAACCAGUAGAAGCAAAACCCGGUGGUGAUACAAGAUCCUUUAUCUUGAAGAAGCCAGUAUUGGGUGGAGUGGAAUCCCAGCUCCAGGGAAAAGCUACAGUUUAUGUGGAAAGUGUGCCAGCUGAACAAGAACGUAUGGUGCAGACCAAAGAUCAAAUUGACUCCGAGGAAGCAAGUCCUAAAUUUAUUGUGACACUGGAUGGCAUUCCAAGUCCUCCUGGAUCUAUUUCAGAGCAUGAUGAGGAGACUGAGCCAGUGGAGCAAGAGGGUACUUUACAAGAGCCUGGAAGGAAAUAUAAAUUAUCAUUACAGUCUGUUGCUCAGACAUUGAUUGAAUCUGAUGAAGAAGAGGUUGAUGACAGCAGCUUUCAACCAAAACGACAGAAACUUCUAGAGCGAUGCAAGUACUGGCCAGCCUGUAAAAAUGGUGAUGAUUGUAUGUACCAUCAUCCUGUAGCUUCAUGCAAAACCUUUCCAAAGUGUAAAUUUGGGGACAAAUGCCUAUUUAUCCAUCCAAACUGCAAAUAUGAUUCCAAGUGUACUAGACCAGAUUGUCCAUACACACACGCAAGCAGACGGACUGCUGUGGUGCCAAAACAGCCAGCUCCUGUGAUAAACGUAAGCAGUUCUCUCUGUCGAUUUUUUCCAGAUUGCAAAAAGGUGGAGUGCCCUUUUAUCCAUCCGAAGCCUUGCCGCUUCAGUUCACACUGUAAAAGAGCUGACUGCACAUUCUACCAUCCUACAAUUGCAUUACCUCCACGCCAUGCACUAAAAUGGACCAGAUCUCAACAAAACAGUGAAUGAUCAGUUUGGAUCGUGCAGAACCUACUGUGGAUAAAGGAUUGCAACUGUUUAAUGUAGCAUUUUACAAAUUUGUAUUUUCCCUCUUACAAUUUUCUUUAACAUUGAGUAUCCAAUAUUUUUAAAGUAAUUUUCUCCCCAACAUGAACCAACUAAUUUUUUUUGCAUAUAAUUUGGAUAUUGACAUGUCAUUUCUCAAUAGGUUUUGUAAGGUGCAUUGUGUGACUUGUAUUUUGUGCUGUUAGAGACAGUAUCUUGAAUUCAAUGGAAAAUUUCAAAGAACAUCAUAUUGAUGUAAGACCACUUCUGUUGAGGAUGGGUUUAUAGUAAAAGAAUUAAGUUUGUUUCAUGAAUCAGUUACUGGUUUUGUUCUUUUGCACUGGCUCUCCUUCAGAUUAUUCUCUCAUGACCAUAUUGUUGUUUGUAAUUUAAGUGUUUUAUAUCCUUACCACAAUUUUACAUGCAUGCCGCCUCACCCGCUGAGUUUCUCCAGCAUUUUUGUCUACCUUCGAUUUUCCAGCAGCUGCAGUUCCUUCUUAAACUUGCAUAUAUAUUCUGCUGCUUUCUACUAUUUACCCUCCUGUAAAAAAAACAGCAUUGCCCCAGGAGUUGUACUUUACAUGGGGAAAUUAAAACCAGGUGUGCAAAGCAUACUCUCCUUUGCCCCAUGAGAAUUAGCUGUAGAACUUUUGGGAAACACUAAAACAAAGAUCAGUUGAAUAAAAUGUAAUGCUUGAUAUUUACUUUCAUUGGAUUUUCAAUUCCUUUUCUAAAGAUGUUCAAUUUUGAUGCUUCAAAAACAAACAGUAAAUGUAUUUGCAAAGUUUGUGGAACAAGUUUGAGUUUUAAAUGAAAAUACGUUUGAAGGCGUGGAAAUAUUGGUUGUUUUAUUGUGAAGGAAUACACAGUUUGUUUUUUGGCAUAGU